rnacentral:rRNA from 1 species
GGGGAAUAUUGCACAAUGGGCGAAAGCCUGAUGCAGCAACGCCGCGUGGAGGAUGAAGGCCUUCGGGUUGUAAACUCUUGUCUUCUGGGACGAUAAUGACGGUACCUGAGGAGGAAGCCACGGCUAAUUACGUGCCAGCAGCCGCGGUAACACGUAGGUGGCAAGCGUUGUCCGGAUUUACUGGGCGUAAAGGAUGCGUAGGCGGAUAUUUAAGUGGGAUGUGAAAUACCCGAGCUCAACUUGGGUGCUGCAUUCCAAACUGGAUAUCUAGAGUGCGGGAGAUGAAAGUGGAAUUCCUAGGGUAGCGGUGAGGUGCGUAGUGAUUAGGAAGAACACCAGUGGCGAAGGCGACUCUCUGGACCGUAACUGACGCUGAGGCAUGAAAGCGUGGGGAGCAAAC